UACAGAGGUCUCAAGCGUUGUUCGGAUUCAUUGGGCGUAAAGGGUGCGUAGGCGGCGCGGUAAGUCGGGUGUGAAAUCUCGGAGCUUAACUCCGAAACUGCAUUCGAUACUGCCGUGCUUGAGGACUGGAGAGGAGACUGGAAUUUACGGUGUAGCGGUGAAAUUCGUAGAUAUCAGGAGGAACACCAGUGGCGAAGGCGGCUUCCUGGACACCAACUGACGCUGAGACGCGAAAGCGUGGGGAGCAAACAGG
rnacentral:rRNA from 1 species